GUGCCUUUUGUAGAAUGAACCGGCGAGUUACGAUUUGAUGCAAGGUUAAGCAGUAAAUGUGGAGCCGUAGCGAAAGCGAGUCUGAAUAGGGCGUUUAGUAUUUGGUCGUAGACCCGAAACCAGGUGAUCUACCCUUGGUCAGGUUGAAGUUCAGGUAACACUGAAUGGAGGACCGAACCGACUUACGUUGAAAAGUGAGCGGAUGAACUGAGGGUAGCGGAGAAAUUCCAAUCGAACCUGGAGAUAGCUGGUUCUCUCCGAAAUAGCUUUAGGGCUAGCCUCAAGUGAUGAUUAUUGGAGGUAGAGCACUGUUUGGACGAGGGGCCCCUCUCGGGUUACCGAAUUCAGACAAACUCCGAAUGCCAAUUAAUUUAACUUGGGAGUCAGAACAUGGGUGAUAAGGUCCGUGUUCGAAAGGGAAACAGCCCAGACCACCAGCUAAGGUCCCAAAAUAUAUGUUAAGUGGAAAAGGAUGUGGCGUUGCCCAGACAACUAGGAUGUUGGCUUAGAAGCAGCCAUCAUUUAAAGAGUGCGUAAUAGCUCACUAGUCGAGUGACACUGCGCCGAAAAUGUACCGGGGCUAAACAUAUUACCGAAGCUGUGGAUUGUCCUUUGGACAAUGGUAGGAGAGCGUUCUAAGGGCGUUGAAGCAUGAUCGUAAGGACAUGUGGAGCGCUUAGAAGUGAGAAUGCCGGUGUGAGUAGCGAAAGACGGGUGAGAAUCCCGUCCACCGAUUGACUAAGGUUUCCAGAGGAAGGCUCGUCCGCUCUGGGUUAGUCGGGUCCUAAGCUGAGGCCGACAGGCGUAGGCGAUGGAUAACAGGUUGAUAUUCCUGUACCACCUAUA
rnacentral:rRNA from 1 species